AAAAUGCGAUAACUAGUGUGAAUUGCAGAAUCUAAAAACGUGAAUCAUCGAGUCUCUGAACGCAAAUUGCGCUCCAUGGUUAUUCCGUGGAGCAUACCUGUUUGAGUCUCACAAUUAUCUUAUCCAAAAUGCGCUUUUAACUGUUUCAGUUUAGCCGUAAAAUGCAUAACCACAUCGGAGACGGAGGGAAGGGCAUUGGGGCAUAUUUUGCCUCUGGGGUUCUUUAUCUCCCGAAGGAUCGGAAGCGUGCUCAUACUACGCUCUCCGGGCCGGAACAAGUCUCUCCAUUCAUUAAUUGAGCUCAAAUCAGGCAGGACUACCCGCUGAACUUAA
rnacentral:misc_RNA from 1 species